rnacentral:rRNA from 1 species
AUUGAACGCUGGCGGCAGGCCUAACACAUGCAAGUCGAGCGGAUGAAGAGAGCUUGCUCUCUGAUUUAGCGGCGGACGGGUGAGUAAUGCCUAGGAAUCUGCCUGGUAGUGGGGGAUAACGUUCCGAAAGGAGCGCUAAUACCGUAUACGUCCUACGGGAGAAAGCAGGGGACCUUCGGGCCUUGCGCUAUCAGAUGAGCCUAGGUCGGAUUAGCUAGUUGGUGAGGUAAUGGCUCACCAAGGCUACGAUCCGUAACUGGUCUGAGAGGAUGAUCAGUCACACUGGAACUGAGACACGGUCCAGACUCCUACGGGAGGCAGCAGUGGGGAAUAUUGGACAAUGGGCGAAAGCCUGAUCCAGCCAUGCCGCGUGUGUGAAGAGGGUCUUCGGAUUGUAAAGCACUUUAAGUUGGGAGGAAGGGCAGUAAGUUAAUACCUUGCUGUUUUGACGUUACCGACAGAAUAAGCACCGGCUAACUUCGUGCCAGCCGCCGCCGUAAAAC